rnacentral:rRNA from 1 species
AUGGAGCUUCUUAGAUCAGCAAUGUAUAAACUGACCCCUUUAGCUUCUGAGCAUGACGGUCUGGGUUUAAAACACAGAAUUGAGUUCAACAAGCCAAAAGCUCCAGAACGCAAACGGAAGGCCGGUCGACCAACCAGCAGCAGAGACAAGCCUCCAUAUGAUGAUCUCGGUGCAAAGAGCAAAAAAAAUAUAUGUCGCGAACCAGGGCACAAGAGCACAACAUGUCCACAGAGGGUGAGCUCCCUCAAAAGAAAAGGAAAAAAUCGCAAGAACACCUGCAACAAUCCAAAGAUUGUUUACAUGUUCCUCAGAAAGCUACACACGAACGACCUGUGGAAAUGUGAUUAA